rnacentral:lncRNA from 1 species
AAGAACUUCGGAGCUCAGAACAGGUGAUACUCACUCCUCCUUUGGGGAGAGGCCGUGGGCAUGGCUUCACUUUUCAGCUGGAUUAUAAAGGAUGUGAAGUUAGCCUGACUGAGCAGAAGGGGAGGGAAGACAGCACUCCAGGAAAGUGGAACGAACAACAGAGUCCAAAGGCCCCAUGGAUAAGAUGGUGAAGAAAAAAACCCUAGUCCAGGCACUCAGGGAGCCCUCAGGAACUUACAGUGUAUAGGAGAAGACAAGUAUAUAAUUACCCAAGUAAGUAUAUGGUUACAAACUGAGAAGUGUUGAAGAGAGAGAAAGAGAAGGAGCUUAUCAGAGACAGUGAGAGGGACACUGAGUCACAGACGGGGACAUUCAAAAGCACAGAGGAAGGAGAUGCCCAGAGAGACCUGAGGUAGGGAAGGGGUAAGCCUCCCACAGGUGGUCAGGCAGGGAGAACAGGAGGGAUGGCAAGAGAGAGGCAGACAGCCCUCCAGCCUACCCACUCCCAAGUACCUGGAAGAAGCUCUCCACGUGUUCCCUUGGGGCCUCCUCCCGGAGUGCAGGGUCAUACAGGUUGAAGGCCCAAUUAAGCCUGUCAUCUACAGUUCCCCGAAGAAUCACGGACAAACCAGCCACAAAGUCCUGGGAAGGAGGCAGGAGGGAGCUGUGUCCUCGGGUACUCUUCACCCAACUCCUUCUCUGGGUUUGGCCUGGAGAUCCUGGCCCUGAACUCCAGGAAACAGGCUUCCCUGGCCCACCUCGCCCAGCUCACCUCAAAACUGACCGAGCCAUCAUGGUUGGUGUCAAAGGCAUUGAAGAGAAAAGUGGCAUAGGUGCUGGAGUCUGCAGGGUGAGUGUGGAGAAGUUGGCUUCCACACAGGAGAGGACUUCCUCCCUCUAAGGAGCUCCCCAUACCCCCCAUCACCUUGGCAUUCCCAGCUCCUCCAGAAUCCCUCCCUCCCUCAGCCUAGAGAAGGACAACUGCUUCCCCUUGGGCCUUGUCCCCUCACCUCCUUGAGGAAAGAACUGGGAGUAAAUCUGCUUGAAGUUCUCCUCAUUGACAAUUCCGCUGGGACAUUCCUGGAAGGAGAGGGCACCAGGCUGAGGGCAGAGACAAAAUCCCCUUCCGUUCACCGCCCCCACCCUCCAUGGCCCAAGACUCCC